rnacentral:rRNA from 2 species
GUGGGGAAUAUUGGGCAAUGGAGGGAACUCUGACCCAGCGACGCCGCGUGCGGGAUGAAGGCCUUCGGGUUGUAAACCGCUUUCAGCAAGGAAGAAGCGAAAGUGACGGUACUUGCAGAAGAAGCACCGGCUAACUAUGUGCCAGCAGCCGCGGUAAUACAUAGGGUGCAAGCGUUGUCCGGAAUUAUUGGGCGUAAAGAGCUCGUAGGUGGUUCGUCACGUCGGAUGUGAAAAUCUGGGGCUUAACCCCAGACCUGCAUUCGAUACGGGCGAGCUAGAGUGUGGUAGGGGAGACUGGAAUUCCUGGUGUAGCGGUGGAAUGCGCAGAUAUCAGGAGGAACACCAAUGGCGAAGGCAGGUCUCUGGGCCAUUACUGACACUGAGGAGCGAAAGCGUGGGGAGCGAACAGGAUUAGAUACCC